rnacentral:rRNA from 1 species
UACGUAGGGGGCAAGCGUUGUCCGGAUUCAUUGGGCGUAAAGAGCGUGUAGGCGGCCAGGUAGGUCGGUUGUGAAAACUGGAGGCUCAACCUUCAGACGUCGACGGAAACCGUGUGGCUAGAGUCCGGAAGAGGAGAGUGGAAUUCCUGGUGUAGCGGUGAAAUGCGCAGAUAUCAGGAAGAACACCAAUGGCGAAGGCAGCUCUCUGGGACGGUACUGACGCUGAGACGCGAAAGCGUGGGGAGCGAACAGG